rnacentral:lncRNA from 1 species
CAACCUGCCUACCUCACAAUCACAUCAGAGCACUACAAGCAACUGCUGCCAUGAGCAAGAUCCCAGCCCACAAGGAAAGGUCUGCCCUAUAGAUCAUCCUGUACCAGAGAUCUACAGCAUAAUGGCCUGGAAGCAGUCUUUGUUUUGGAGCCAAGCCCAGCAAAGUCUCAAUUCCUUCCCCUUCAAUCGCCAUCUGGAUGAACAAGGCCAAGUCAUUGACCUUCUCUGGGCCUCAGUUUCCUCACCCAUAAACUGGAGCAAAGUCAUCUCCAAGACAGCAGGAACCAUGUUUACUCUUUAAUCAUUGUAUGCUCCCUAAAUAUUUGCUGAACAAGUGAACAAAAAACCUGGUGGUGGUGAAAUUAGACUCCUUCUUGGUGUCACCAGGAGGUCCAGUUAAACAUACCAAGACUUGAGGAAUUAUGUCCAAGGUUCCAGCAUUGAACAUGAAGAACGCAGGAUUUAUUGGCACGUCGUGAUAACCGUAAAGCCCACGCUUCUACUGCAGUGUUGAGUUUGCGUGCCCUUGGGACAGAAGACAGAAUAGAGGCUGAGAAAAUUGCUUGUUGGAAGAAUGAAUCCUGGGUCUGCUAUUACAAGAAACUUCUCAACUUCUAGCCUUAUCUCUCACCACUCCUUCCUUAGAUCCUAAGAUUCAACCAUCCCUGACAUCAACACACCAUGUCCUGUGCUUUGUGCCACCUGUUUACCUUUGUACAUGGCAUUCCCACGUGGUAGAAUCUCGCUCCCAUACAAUCUGUUAUACUUGGAACCCCCUUCCUUUAUUCUCAAAACGUAAUUCCCUUUGAGAAAGUUUCUCUGACGUUUUCCUGACAAUGAACCAAUCCUUCCUCCAUGCAACCAUUCUUUUGUUUGUCUCCAGGUUUGAGAGAGAAAAAAAAAUAUGUAUCUACAUGAGUAAGCUAAGAUUCAGUUUCCAAAAUCCUCAACCAAGCACACACAAGGCUUAAGUCAUUUUCAUGAAACAGAGA